rnacentral:rRNA from 1 species
AGUUUGAUCCUGGCUCAGGAUGAACGCUAGCGAUAGGCCUAACACAUGCAAGUCGAGGGGCAGCACAUGAAGUAGCAAUACGGAUGGUGGCGACCGGCGCACGGGUGAGUAACGCGUAUGCAACCUACCUACAACAGGGGAAUAACCCGUUGAAAGACGGACUAAUACCCCAUAAUACAGGGAUCCCGCAUGGGAAUAUUUGUUAAAGAUUUAUCGGUUGUAGAUGGGCAUGCGUUCCAUUAGCUAGUUGGUGAGGUAACGGCUCACCAAGGCAACGAUGGAUAGGGGAACUGAGAGGUUUAUCCCCCACACUGGUACUGAGACACGGACCAGACUCCUACGGGAGGCAGCAGUGAGGAAUAUUGGUCAAUGGACGCAAGUCUGAACCAGCCACGUCGCGUGAAGGAAGACGGCCCUACGGGUUGUAAACUUCUUUUGUAAGGGAAUAAAGUGAGCCACGUGUGGUUUUUUGCAUGUACCUUACGAAUAAGGAUCGGCUAACUCCGUGCCAGCAGCCGCGGUAAUACGGAGGAUCCGAGCGUUAUCCGGAUUUAUUNCGUUNAAAGGGUGCGCACGCUGGNNAUUAAGUCGGCGGUGAAAUUUUGCAGCUCAACUGNAANNNNGCCUUCCAAAC